UAAUAUUAGAUGCGAGAUUACUUUUUUCUUUUUUAGAAAAAUCUUAUCCCAGAUAAACCAAUUAUUAAAUAAUGAAUAAGUAUCUAGGAUUAGACCCGAAGCCUAGUGAUCUUACCAUGAUCAGGGUUAUAAAAGCUCGAACAGGUUAUCGUUGUAAAGAUAUCUGAUGAAUUGUGGUAAGUUAGUGAAAGACAAAACUGACUAGGAUAGCUGG
rfam:Pseudocercospora musae strain CBS 116634 scaffold2668, whole genome shotgun sequence.